UACGUAGGGGGCGAGCGUUGUCCGGAUUUAUUGGGCGUAAAGAGCGUGUAGGCGGCCAGGUAGGUCUGCUGUGAAACUUGAGGCUCAACCUCGAGACGUCGGCGGAAACCAUCUGGCUAGAGUCCGGAAGAGGAGAGUGGAAUUCCUGGUGUAGCGGUGAAAUGCGCAGAUAUCAGGAGGAACACCGGUGGCGAAGGCGGUCUCUGGGCCGAUACUGACGCUGAGGAGCGAAAGCAUGGGAGCGAACAGG
rnacentral:rRNA from 1 species